rnacentral:lncRNA from 1 species
CUGGGGUUACUAUCGGAGCCACACAAGCACCCAACCUUUGCUGGUAUCCACUCAGAGAUAUUUUUUGAUUAGAACUCCAAAAUCUUCAAGGUGCUAGCUCUCUUGCAGACUUCAUUCUUCGGCUUGGAUCAGAGCACUUUACUUGAUAUCACUUGAAGCAGCCUUGUUAUUGGAUCUUGGGAAUUGAUCCAAACUAUCAAAAAAAAUUAAGAACUCCUUGAUUUUUUUCUCUCUC